GACAGAGGUGCCGAGCGUUAGGCGGAAUCACUGGGCUUAAAGCGUGUGUAGGCGGACUUCUAAGUACCUUGUGAAAUCCCAUGGCUCAACCAUGGAACUGCUCGGUAUACUGGUUGUCUUGAGCCACUUAGGGGCAGUCGGAACAGACGGUGGAGCGGUGAAAUGCGUAGAUAUCGGGAGGAACACCCAUGGCGAAGGCAGCAAGCUGGGCGACACCUGACGCUGAGGCGCGAAAGCGUGGGUAGCAAACAGG
rnacentral:rRNA from 1 species